GGGUACAUGGUCUAGUGGUAUGAUUUUCGCUUCGCAUAGACUUGCGCCAUUGUGAAAGGUCCCCGGUUCAAUCCCGGGUGUAUCCA